rnacentral:lncRNA from 1 species
GUUUUCUUUUUGAGAUUUUAACUAUUAAAGAUUGGAGAAGAAGAGGGUUUGAAAAAUGGAAAGAUUUUGAAUCUUUUGAGAUUUUAAAUAUUAGGGCUUGGAAGGGUUUGGAAAAUGGCAAGAUUUUGAUAUUUAAAUAUUAGGGUUUAGGUUAUAAAAAAUAUAUAUUUUUUGAUUUUUUAAAUUAUAAAAGUGUAAGUAUUUUUUGGCCUUUAGAUUCAGAUUUAAUAGUUCGAAUUAUUUUUAUACAUUAUAUCAUAUCAAAUUUGUUGGGUUCGAGUCGGGUUCGGGUUCGGGUUGGGUUUGGGUGGGUUCGGAUUUUUUUAAAAUAUUCAUACCCGAGCCUAAAUCCGUCGGAUUUUUUUUUUUAUAUAUUCAUCAUACUCGAAUCCAUAUCCAUUUACAUCGGAUAAAAUCCACUCUGUUCGGAUUUGGAUUCGGAUAAAAUUCGGAUAUCCGUAUUCAUUUACAUCCCUA